rnacentral:rRNA from 1 species
ACACCUACGGGUGGCAGCAACCGGGAAUAUUGCGCAAUGGACGAAAGUCUGAUCGAGCGACGCCGCGUGCUGGACGAAGUCCUUCGGGACGUAAACAGCUUUUAUGGGGGAAGAAGUAAUUGACAUUACCCCAAGAAUAAGGGGCUCCUAACUCUGUGCCAGCAGGAGCGGUAAUACAGAGGCCCCGAGCAUUAUCCGGAAUCACUGGGCGUAAAGGGUGUGUAGGUGGCAGUGUUAGUCAAACGUUAAAGCCCGGAGCUUAACUCCGGAAGUGCGUUUGAAACGGCACAGCUAGAGGAUGCGAGGGAUGAAUGGAACUCAUGGAGUAGGGGUGAAAUCCGUUGAUAUCAUGGGGAACACCAAAAGCGAAGGCAGUUCAUUGGCGCACUCCUGACACUGAAACACGAAAGCGUGGGUAGCGAAUGGGAUUAGAUACCCCAGUAGUCCACGCCCUAAACGAUGACAACUAGCUUUUCGGAGUAUCGACCCUCUGAGAGGCGAAGCUAACGCGUUAAGUUGUCCGCCUGGGUAGUACGACCGCAAGGUUAAAACUCAAAGGAAUAGACGGGGACUUGCACAAGCAGAGGAUUAUGUGGUUUAAUUCGAUGAUAAACGAAAAACCUUACCAAGGUUUGAAACCUAACUGAAUAGAAGCAGAAACGUUUCUAGUCUCACAAGGACAGUUAGGCAGGUGAUGCAUGGCCGUCGUCAGUUCGUGAUUUGAAUUGUUCCCUUAAGUGGGGUAACGAACGCAACCCUCGUUGUCUGUUAUACGUAUCAGGCGAGACUGCCCAGCUUUUUGCUCGGAAGCAAAAAGCCAGUUAAAAGUUCAUAAAGUUAUAGAGUUCAUAAAGUAAAAUGCAUUUGCAUCUACUUUAAAAACUUUACAAACUUUCAACUUUAAAAACUUACUUUUUGAGCUUGCGCUCAAAAAGCUGGGAGGAAGGCGAGGAUGACGCCAGGUCAGCAUGUCCCUUUGAUACCUUGGGCUACACACAUAAUACAAUGGCGACCACAACGCGUUGCGACGGGGUAACCCUGAGCUAAUCGUAAUAAAAGUCGCCCCAGUUCAGAUUGGGGGCUGAAACUCGACCCCAUGAAGUUGGAUUUGCUAGUAAUCGCGGGUCAGCUAUACCGCGGUGAAUACGUUCUCAAGUCUUGUACUCACCGCCCGUCAACUCAAGGGAACCGGGAAUACCCGAAGUCUAGCGUAUGCUAGCCCACGGUAAAUUCGGUAACAGGGAGUAAGUCGUAACAAGGCACGGCUAGCGGAAGCUGGUCGUG